GGAAAGGCCCUGCAUUGGCUUAAUCAUCAGUACCCAUCAACCUUCUAUGGAAUUGCUGCAUGUGUGUUUGCUUAGUCAUAACACUAAAAAAUAUGAUGUCAGUGAAUAUGAAGAGUAUUAUUAAAAGAAGAAAAUGGCUCAAGAGUU